CCUACGGGGGACAGCAGUGAGGAAUAUUGGUCAAUGGACGAGAGUCUGAACCAGCCAAGUAGCGUGAAGGAUGACUGCCCUAUGGGUUGUAAACUUCUUUUAUAUGGGAAUAAAAUGUUCCACGUGUGGGAUUUUGUAUGUACCAUAUGAAUAAGGAUCGGCUAACUCCGUGCCAGCAGCCGCGGUAAUACGGAGGAUCCGAGCGUUAUCCGGAUUUAUUGGGUUUAAAGGGAGCGUAGGUGGAUUGUUAAGUCAGUUGUGAAAGUUUGCGGCUCAACCGUAGAAUUGCAGUUGAAACUGGCAGUCUUGAGUACAGUAGAGGUAGGCGGAAUUCGUGGUGUAGCGGUGAAAUGCUUAGAUAUCACGAAGAACUCCGAUUGCGAAGGCAGUUCACUGGACUGCAACUGACACUGAGGCUCGAAAGUGUGGGUAUCAAACAGGAUUAGAUACCCUAGUAGUC
rnacentral:rRNA from 1 species